GAUGAACGCUGGCGGCGUGCUUAACACAUGCAAGUCGAACGGUGAAGGCGGAGCUUGCUCUGCUGGAUCAGUGGCGAACGGGUGAGUAACACGUGAGCAAUCUGCCCCUGACUCUGGGAUAAGCGCUGGAAACGGCGUCUAAUACUGGAUACGAGCUGCGAAGGCAUCUUCAGCAGCCGGAAAGAAUUUCGGUCAGGGAUGAGCUCGCGGCCUAUCAGCUUGUUGGUGAGGUAAUGGCUCACCAAGGCGUCGACGGGUAGCCGGCCUGAGAGGGUGACCGGCCACACUGGGACUGAGACACGGCCCAGACUCCUACGGGAGGCAGCAGUGGGGAAUAUUGCACAAUGGGCGAAAGCCUGAUGCAGCAACGCCGCGUGAGGGACGACGGCCUUCGGGUUGUAAACCUCUUUUAGCAGGGAAGAAGCGAAAGUGACGGUACCUGCAGAAAAAGCGCCGGCUAACUACGUG
rnacentral:rRNA from 1 species